GACGAACGCUGGCGGCGUGCCUAAUACAUGCAAGUCGAGCGAACAUCAGAGGAGCUUGCUCCUCUGAUGUUAGCGGCGGACGGGUGAGUAACACGUGGGCAACCUGCCCUAUAGUUUGGGAUAACUUGCGGAAACGUGAGCUAAUACCGAAUAAUACAACGAAGCUCCUGCUUCGAUGUUGAAAGAUGGCUUUGCUAUCGCUAUAGGAUGGGCCCGCGGCGCAUUAGCUAGUAGGUGAGGUAACGGCUCACCUAGGCAACGAUGCGUAGCCGACCUGAGAGGGUGAUCGGCCACACUGGGACUGAGACACGGCCCAGACUCCUACGGGUGGCUG
rnacentral:rRNA from 1 species